GAUCAUGGCUCAGGACGAACGCUGGCGGCGUGCCUAACACAUGCAAGUCGAACGAGAAUCUUUGAACAGAUCUUUUCGGAGUGACGUUCAAAGAGGAAAGUGGCGGACGGGCGAGUAACGCGUGAGUAACCUGCCCAUAAGAGGGGGAUAAUCCAUGGAAACGUGGACUAAUACCGCAUAUUGUAGUCAAGUCGCAUGACUAGAUUAUGAAAGAUUUAUCGCUUAUGGAUGGACUCGCG
rnacentral:rRNA from 1 species